rnacentral:rRNA from 1 species
GGCCUUGCGCUCUUUGAGCGGCCGAUGUCAGAUUAGCUAGUUGGUGAGGUAAAGGCUUACCAAGGCGACGAUCUGUAGCGGGUCUGAGAGGAUGAUCCGCCACACUGGAACUGAGACACGGUCCAGACUCCUACGGGAGGCAGCAGUGGGGAAUUUUGGACAAUGGGGGCAACCCUGAUCCAGCCAUGCCGCGUGAGUGAAGAAGGCCUUCGGGUUGUAAAGCUCUUUCGGCCGGGAAGAAAUCGCAUGGGCCAAUACCCUGUGUGGAUGACGGUACCGGAAUAAGAAGCACCGGCUAACUACGUGCCAGCAGCCGCGGUAAUACGUAGGGUGCGAGCGUUAAUCGGAAUUACUGGGCGUAAAGCGUGCGCAGGCGGUUUUGUAAGACAGGCGUGAAAUCCCCGGGCUUAACCUGGGAACUGCGUUUGUGACUGCAAGGCUAGAGUACGGCAGAGGGGGGUGGAAUUCCACGUGUAGCAGUGAAAUGCGUAGAGAUGUGGAGGAACACCAAUGGCGAAGGCAGCCCCCUGGGUCGAUACUGACGCUCAUGCACGAAAGCGUGGGUAGCAAACGGGAUUAGAUACCCUGGUAGUCCACGCCCUAAACUAUGUCAACUAGGUGUUGGGUGGGUAAAACCAUUUAGUACCGUAGCAAACGCGUGAAGUUGACCGCCUGGGGAGUACGGCCGCAAGGUUAAAACUCAAAGGAAUUGACGGGGACCCGCACAAGCGGUGGAUGAUGUGGAUUAAUUCGAUGCAACGCGAAAAACCUUACCUACCCUUGACAUGCCAGGAACUUGCCAGAGAUGGCUUGGUGCCCGAAAGGGAGCCUGGACACAGGUGCUGCAUGGCUGUCGUCAGCUCGUGUCGUGAGAUGUUGGGUUAAGUCCCGCAACGAGCGCAACCCUUGUCGUUAAUUGCCAUCAUUUAGUUGGGCACUUUAACGAGACUGCCGGUGACAAACCGGAGGAAGGUGGGGAUGACGUCAAGUCCUCAUGGCCCUUAUGGGUAGGGCUUCACACGUCAUACAAUGGUCGGUACAAAGGGUUGCCAAGCCGCGAGGCGGAGCCAAUCCCAGAAAGCCGAUCGUAGUCCGGAUUGCAGGCUGCAACUCGCCUGCAUGAAGUCGGAAUCGCUAGUAAUCGUGGAUCAGCAUGUCACGGUGAAUACGUUCCCGGGUCUUGUACACACCGCCCGUCACACCAUGGGAGCGGGUUCCGCCAGAAGUAGGUAGCCUAACCGCAAGGGGGGCGCUUACCACGGCGGGGUUCGUGACUGGGGUGAAGUCGGAACAAGGUA